GGGGGGUCAAUCUCAUCUUGAUAUAUAUACAGACUUCGCAAGUAUUUAAUUAUACCCAGUAGCCUUCCGUCACUGUAUUAGAAAUCCAGAUAGUCUGACACCAAAGUACAGUGAGUUGCUUGCAAGUCACUAUAGUGAUCCCAGGUCUGAAGGAUACUUAUACCCAUAUGUUUCACGAGUAGCUCUUGAUAGCAGAAUGCUUAGUAGGUGAGUUAUUUAUUUAGUGAUGAUGUAUCCUUACAUC
rnacentral:lncRNA from 1 species